GAUGAACGCUGGCGGCGUGCCUAAUACAUGCAAGUCGAGCGAACGGACGAGAAGCUUGCUUCUCUGAUGUUAGCGGCGGACGGGUGAGUAACACGUGGAUAACCUACCUAUAAGACUUGGAUAACUUCGGGAAACCGGAGCUAAUACCGGCUAAUAUUUUGAACCGCAUGGUUCAGAAGUUCAAGACGGUCUUGCUGUCACUUAUAGAUGGAUCCGCGCUGCAUUAGCUAGUUGGUAAGGUAACGGCUUACCAAGGCAACGAUGCAUAGCCGACCUGAGAGGGUGAUCGGCCACACUGGAACUGAGACACGGUCCAGACUCCUACGGGAGGCAGCAGUAGGGAAUCUUCCGCAAUGGGCGAAAGCCUGACGGAGCAACGCCGCGUGAGUGAUGAAGGUCUUCGGAUCGUAAAACUCUGUUAUUAGGGAAGAACAUAUGUGUAAGUAACUGUGCACAUCUUGACGGUACCUAAUCAGAAAGCCACGGCUAACUACGUG
rnacentral:rRNA from 1 species